rnacentral:rRNA from 1 species
CCCUUAGAGUUUGAUCCUGGCUCAAGACGCCCUUUGGGGGCGUGCUUAACACAUGCAAGUCGAACGAAGCUUGAUUACGGAUUCUUCGGAUGAAGUAUGAUAUGACUGAGUGGCGGACGGGUGAGUAACGCGUGAGUAACCUGCCCUUCAGAGGGGGAUAGCGUUUGGAAACGAACGGUAAUACCGCAUAAUGUAUUUUGACCGCAUGAUCGAAAUACCAAAGAUUUAUCGCUGAAGGAUGGACCCGCGUCUGAUUAGGUAGUUGGUGGGGUAACGGCCUACUAAGCCGACGAUCAGUAGCCGGACUGAGAGGUUGAUCGGCCACAUUGGGACUGAGACACGGCCCAGACUCCUACGGGAGGCAGCAGUGGGGAAUAUUGCACAAUGGGCGCAAGCCUGAUGCAGCAACGCCGCGUGAAGGAAGACGGUUUUCGGAUUGUAAACUUCUGUUCUUAGUGAAGAAUAAUGACGGUAGCUAAGGAGCAAGCCACGGCUAACUACGUGCCAGCAGCCGCGGUAAUACGUAGGUGGCAAGCGUUGUCCGGAAUUACUGGGUGUAAAGGGAGCGCAGGCGGGUGAUCAAGUCAGCUGUGAAAACUACGGGCUUAACCCGUAGACUGCAGUUGAAACUGUUCAUCUUGAGUGAAGUAGAGGUUGGCGGAAUUCCGAGUGUAGCGGUGAAAUGCGUAGAUAUUCUGAGGAACACCGGUGGCGAAGGCGGCCAACUGGGCUUUAACUGACGCUGAGGCUCGAAAGUGUGGGGAGCAAACAAGAUUAGAUACCCUGGUAGUCCACA